CUACUACUACGGCGUUUAGGCUAGCUUCUAGAACGACACUGGGAGUGCCUAGCUUGCGCCUCGAGCACGCGCUGCGCCUCUUUAGUUUUCUCUUCCUUGACGGACUGAGAGCGCCGACCAAAUCGCUCCUCAUCGUGGCGUCGGCUGGGUGCUACAAUGCAACUUCAUGGCCCAAUUCAUGCAUUGUUUUUCUGAGGAGUUAUGGCAACAUUUUACAUUUUCCACAACUUUAUGAUUUCGUAAAUUUCGUCAGUUUCUGCGGUGUCAAGAACCGUGAAGGGUUUCGCGUUUCGUACUUUUUCUACACCACAUGGGCCAUGGACAAUCCAGUCGAGAAUGUUUUCGAUUGUACGUUCGUUUAGUCAUUUUACCCGCUUUGUUGUCGGAUCCAAGUAAAAAUUGGAUCCAAGCGUCUCUUGCGUUUUUCAGUUAUCCGCAAUCAAUAUUCCCAUCCUGCUUGUAUAUAACUUUUCGUUAAGUCGAUGAAGUCGUCCUUUCAAUAUUACAUCUAUUUCAAUGGCCUUGAUUAGUUACUAAUUCACCAUCUGGGUUUUGUUUUGAUAAAGAUUCUACUAUAGUCCUCUCGCGUUUAUCUUCGUCCGAAUGCUCCCAGCGUGAGUACCUGUGCGGUCGAAUUUGCAACCUAGAUUUCGUGCCACACAUCUCCAAAGUCCUUGCCACAUGAACUUUUUGCCGUCAAAUAUUAACAUCUUUAGGCAGUUUCACGGGACUGCCAUGAUCCGGGGGCCGAUUGACUGACGCUGACUGGUUACUUUCUAUUGCUGCAUUAUCGCGAUCAUUCGUCGUUAGUCAGCUUAUGUAUACUGGGCUAUCUUUCAAAUUGUAAUUACCUUCAUGCCAUAUUCCACUACUUCCUAAAAUUCGUCGGACGCUGUUUCCUCAAUGACGAACGUCUCCAUCUGUGAAUUUGCGGCUCGGCAACUGUUAUGCCCUUGAUUUGAUCGUGAAUACAGAACCUACGUCGUCUCCGUCGCUCACUUUUCUUUCUGCCUCUAAUGAGGUUCAUUAUCUCCAUCCAGUUUUCCCUCUUUUGCGAAACCUUUCUAUUCAUGUUCAAAAUCGAGGCUUACAUUAUCGAAGUAGCGAUGGCUUCUAUUCUCUUUUGCGGUUGCUCUCGGCUCCACGGCAUCUGUUCCCAAUUGCCAGUCGCAUGACAGCUAGCUUUUUUUCUUCACUGUUGUCCUUGGUGGCGAGGGUCUAUUGCGGCCCACAAGACACCCAGCCCACUCCUGCACAUUGACUCGCCGGUCUACGCUCCAGAGGAGAUUACUUCGCGCACGAGCCCCACCCGUUCCAGGAGCGACUGUCAUCACUUCUACAUUCUCUCGCCGAUGGCUUCCUGCUGGCAGACUCGACUGUCCUCCUCGCCCUGCACUGCUACUGGUUCUGAGCUCCUGUUUUCGAUUGCGGCCCACAAGGACACCACGCCCGCUUCCGCACAUACUCUCCGGUCUACGCUCCAGAGGAGAUUACUUCGCGCACGAGCCCCACCCGUUCCAGGAGCGACUGUCAUCACUCCUACAUUCUCUCGCCGAUGGCUUCCUGCUGGCAGACUCGACUGUCCUCCUCGCCCUGCACUGCUACUGGUUCUGAGCUCCUGUUUUCGAUUGCGGCCCACAAGGACACCACGCCCGCUUCCGCACAUACUCUCCGGUCUACGCUCCAGAGGAGAUUACUUCGCGCACGAGCCCCACCCGUUCCAGGAGCGACUGUCAUCACUUCUACAUUCUCUCGCCGAUGGCUUCCUGCUGGCAGACUCGACUGUCCUCCUCGCCCUGCACUGCUACUGGUUCUGAGCUCCUGUUUUCGAUUGCGGCCCACAAGGACACCACGCCCGCUUCCGCACAUACUCUCCGGUCUACGCUCCAGAGGAGAUUACUUCGCGCACGAGCCCCACCCGUUCCAGGAGCGACUGUCAUCACUUCUACAUUCUCUCGCCGAUGGCUUCCUGCUGGCAGACUCGACUGUCCUCCUCGCCCUGCACUGCUACUGGUUCUGAGCUCCUGUUUUCGAUUGCGGCCCACAAGGACACCACGCCCGCUUCCGCACAUACUGUCCUGUCUACGCUCCAGAGGAGAUUACUUCGAGCUCCACUCGGCCUGUGACGGACCAUGUUUGCAUUGCUACAUACUGUCGCCGAUGGCGUCUUACUGGUAUACUGGACCUAUCUUGGAGCCCUUGUACUUAAUUAUGGUAAAUAUCACAUUCACCUGGUCUUCAAGAGCGACAAUCUUCACCCCGAUCGUCCUGCGCAGACUCUAAACAGCCCGCUUACUCUGACCUCUGAAACUGUCGUACGCCUGCGUCUUGGCUGUGUCCUGUACUGUGAUGGCGGCGUGUUAAUAGUCUGAAGGACUGCUUGUAGUCGCCAUCCCGCGACCGUCCAUCAGAUGUACUUCUAUAGUUCUUCUGUUUGCUUUUUUUUUUUGCGCACGCAUAUUUAAUGUUUCGUAUAGCAAGCUUUUCUGCUUUGAGUGGUACGUCGCUCAGCCAAUGGAUGGCGCUUCUAGCAAUUAUGAGAAUACGAAACCGAACAGUAAGGUCUGGUUACGUAGACACCACCCAGUUUUUCAGAAGGGUUGUUAGUCUUCAUGAGCUGAUCUGUAAAUUUUUGGUGGCGAGAGUAACGGACAUUCAUUGUGUAGUGUGUGUGUGUGUGUGUGUGUGUGUGUGUGUGUGUGUGUGUGUGUGUGUGUGUGUGUGUGUGUGUGUGUGUGUGUGUGUGUGUGUGUGUGUGUGACUCGGUUGCGCGCGUACUGGUUCAUUUCGUAUGUGCCCACCUUUUCUGUGCUCAUAUUGUUGUAUCGAGAACGGAUGUAUGACAAAGCUUCAGCGCUAUUCGGCGCACGUCGAAUUCAUAUUUUGGUAGCAUUUCCAGUGUCGUCGUUGUAUCCACAAAGCCCGUUGAUCGUUUAUUUCUCCGGUUCAUCCCGGUUAAAAAGUUGCCUGGUUUCAUCCGCUUCUGGAUUGGUUGAACAACUCGUUCUUUGGCUUUGUUCCUUGGGCUGAUCUCUGUACUCGUUUCGACAUUCAGCGAAUUUGUUAAGGUAUCCUUCUCGUAUCGGAAACUAGGGCUUCGUACACAUUCUCGGUUCUUCCACGUCACUCAUCACCGACUCAAAAGAUCAACAUGCCACUACAAAAGCACACAAUGCCAAUAAAUGGGAAAGAGGAGGGUAGUUAUUCUCGCCAGCAAAAAUUUCCUGAUUAGCUCAUGAUGGUAAUGACCAUUUUAAAAACUGGUUGGUGAUAAAUGUCGCCAUGCUCGCAGUUCCUAGUUUGAUGUGCCUGAAUCAUUAAAUGCUUUUAUAGAUGGGUGACUGUGUGGAUAUGAGCAUCAUCUAUGAAAUGGUGUGUUCACUCCGUGCGUUGUUUGCGUCACUUAUCGGCCCGUAAACUUGCGGUUCGUACGAUAUGUGAACCGUGGAGCGUCGCAGAAAUUUGUUGUCAUCGUAGACACGAGUCGGAGCAGCGUACUGCUCCUCGGCGAGCUAGAGUAGAAUGUAUCUCAGCCUGGUCCAACAUUUGUGUUGCCUGUCGUUUGUUCAUUGGACAGUGCUACCCACCGUCGCCACUUGUUCACCACGUAUACUGUACCGCAUUGGAGCCGUGGUUUGAGAUUUGUUGCAUAAUCGUGCACUGUGCAAGGUCGGUAAUAACAGUGAACCGCCAUGGCGCUCUUGACGGGUCUAUGGGCCAGUAUUUUGUAGCGAUGCCUUUCCAGUAAUGCCUUUUCGCGUUUAUCGCGCUUUGUCAGUGGUUAAGCGACGGUCCGCUCGCGUUGAUCAACGGGAUCAACCGGCCGUGAGCGCUGGAUAAGACUAGCAUAGAAUAAGUCAUAAGGCAUCGCUACAAAAUACCGGCCCUGAUCUCGUUGCCUGCUGACUGUAGAGGUGACGUAGUUCUGUCAUUCCGUGAUUGAAGUAUACUGCUUGAGCCAUUUUCAAACGGCUGCUUCAAAGGGGCUACAUUUACUCCCCCUUAUGCCAAAUCAUGUGUAAACGUCUCUAGACAAAAAGUGCACGAGCGCGCACAAUGAAAUCUCCAAAGGAAAAUGUUCGCUGUAGUUGUACUCUUUGUUUUAAGUGACUAGUUUACCACAGUUUCUUUUGUACCUUGUUUUUACUGUACGCUGUGUUAUCUUUGCAUUGCUCUUCGAAUGCACUUAAAUGCGCUUGCUUAAAAUAGUUGGAAUUUGAUCAUGCUUCCGCUGUUGUCCUAAUGUCAAUUUAAGGACGCACACGUGUUUUACUUCCAAUGUUAUCGGUAACCUCUAAUAACGUUGUCCCCAGGUUGCUUGAAAACUAAAUAAAAGAUGAGCAAUGUCAUUGGCAAAUAAUUACCUGUACCGCUGUGACGGGAAAGUCAAACCACGCAUGCAUGAUGCGGCUCAAAAUGUCGCACGCAUUUUUCUUAACCCCGAACAUGCACAAGGCUCUAUGGAGCCUUUCUGUAGGAAGUAUCUUAUUUCGAUAACGACAGUCCUGCAAUUACGCCACAAAAUACUCGCAAGCAGUGUACAAUACGAGCAGUGUGGACAUUUGGACUUGCGUUACGUAGGAAAAAAAGCCUUCAGCACAACUGGUACAUGGACGCAGAUAGACCACACACCCACACAGCACUCAACAAUUUAUAUACGACAGCGAUGCACAUUACUGUACACUGAGAGGCCUGUGUGAUAUUGGAUGUGAUGUGGUAUAUAGGAUCGUCAUCUAGAAAUGUUUUUGUCCCUUCUGUGCAUUUCGCACCCAACUGGGCAAGUUCGCAUACUUGCAUGCUUUCUCGUUUCCUAAAAACUAGAAUCGGGGUACAUUUCCUUCCAUCUCCACGCGAAGGUACUGUACAACGCUUGCUCGUUUCAGGUAGUUCUAAUAGCUUACGGCUGUAAAACCUUUCAUGCAUAUGCAAAUAAAGACGUAAGAAGUUGCUUUUCCUUGACUUAUGCUGUUCCGCUUUCAUUUGGUGUGUCGUACGAAAACCGUGUUUUGCAUUUUUAUACGUCAAAGUAUCUUGACGCUGAAAUUAUGUAUGCGAUGUAAAUCCCAUUAUGUAUUAGAUGUGCCUGUGCCCAAAUGCAUACAUGCUUAUUCUCAUUCUGUAUAUUAUUAAAUCCACUGUAUGCUGCUGUCUGCAGCAUGGGGAUAACGUCCAAUCAGGCGGCAUUGAGUCGCUUUCAAUAACUUCAGUCUUGUUUUGCGCCUAGUGUAUUCAACAUGCAAACUGAACCUUACGAAUAUCCUGUCAAAAUAAAGCUUAUUCCUGUACUCCGUCUCA
rnacentral:lncRNA from 1 species